AUGAGUGACAGAAGCAGUAUUGCAGAUGUUAUCUGCGGACAAUUGGAAAGGUCUACUUCUUUUGAAUAUUCUGUAACUCGAAUCCUGAGAUGUUGCAAGUCACUAUAUCCGGAAAUAUCAAGUGAACCUUACAUCAUCUAGGAAUUUCUGGAUGAAGAAUAAAGACUUUCAAUGCUUCAGGAAUUAGGCUGCGCUGGAGGGGUCACUUGUGGUGCAAAGGGCCUUUCGAGAUUUGCUUGGUGUUUAUGGAUGUGAAGUCCAGCACAUGUCUGCAGCAGCAGGGCAUUGCCUUACGCUCGCGACAUUCCAAGGCACAUUUUGUAUGGUUUCUUUGACGCCAUACACAAAAUGCAGUCUCAACGUGGCUGGCGAUCUCGAGUGCGAUAUGUUCAGAAGAUGUGUCCAAGCAAUCAAGUAAACAUCCUGAGGAGAAACGAUUUGAUGUGCUGUACCGGUAAAAUGAAAUUCAUAGAAGAUUGACGGUUGUAUUGUCCGGUUGAGUCAAUUUGCCUUCCAUUUGUGACGGUAUCCGAUCCCUUGUUUUUUUUGAGCGCUCUAAUAUUGAACUGCAGUUGUUCAUUGUGCAGGCAUUAAGAAGACCAUGAUUCCAAAGUUUGAUCGUGAAUAAUGUCCAACACCAAUGUAGAGCUCGGAAUGGGAUCAACUCUUCUGCACGAUGCUUCGAAAAUGCCUCACAAGCCCACGGCACAUGACCAUUAGCCAGUACCCCUUGUUGUUUUUGACGGUUGCAGUCUUGGAUGUUAUACUAGAUGAAUGAUUAACAUGAGAAUCCAUCUUUCUUCCCGUGAUCUUAGAGUGAGAAGAUUGUCAGCAAAUUUUGCAUCAGACACAGUAUCGGUGGACGAAACUUUAUUUCGAAUAGCCGUUGUAGGUUGCUAUUGUUGCAUACCAUGAUGUGAGACACAGUUCUAUCAUUUGCUCAAAUAUGUUUCUAGCCAUAUGUAGUCUUCCAGACUUAGCAUACGUAGUAAUAAGAUAAUCAUUUACA